rnacentral:rRNA from 1 species
UGGGGAAUCUUGGACAAUGGGCGCAAGCCUGAUCCAGCCAUGCCGCGUGAGUGAAGAAGGCCUUCGGGUUGUAAAGCUCUUUCAGACGGAAAGAAAUCGCAUCUUCUAAUACAGGGUGUGGAUGACGGUACCGUAAGAAGAAGCACCGGCUAACUACGUG